GAUUUCUGACCUGAAACGAUUAGUCGGCCACGGUUUCGUGUGUUAGUAUUAGUCGUUCUGGUCAUCCUUCCAAUUGCUAUACAUCUUUCUUCAUUGAUGGGUGUGUGGUAUUGGAUCUUUUACUUUGAAAAAAUUAGAGUGUUUCAAGCAGGCUUAAUGCUAUGAAUACAUUAGCAUGGAAUAAUAAUUUAGGACUUCGGUUCUAUUUUGUUGGUUUCUAGGACUGAAGUAAUGAUUGAUAGGGAUAGUUGGGGGUGCUAGUAUUCAGCGGCCAGAGGUGAAAUUCUCGGAUUCGCUGAAGACUAACUUAUGCGAAAGCAUU
rnacentral:rRNA from 1 species